UCUAUCCCAGUUCUAUCUGCCUGUUAAAUCAGUUUCUGGACCACAGGUUCUAGAACAGCUUCUAUCCCAGUUCUAUCUGCCUGUUAAAUCAGUUUCUGGACCACAGGUUCUAGAACAGCUUCUAUCCCAGUUCUAUCUGCCUGUUAAAUCAGUUUCUGGACCACAGGUUCUAGAACAGCUUCUAUCCCAGUUCUAUCUGCCUGUUAAAUCAGUUUCUGGACCACAGGUUCUAGAACAGCUUCUAUCCCAGUUCUAUCUGCCUGUUAAAUCAUCAACCUGUUUCCAUCAGACUAUUAGAACAUGACUGAACCUUUUGGUUCCUUUUCUGAUCUUUUACCACUUUGCAUUUUUUAUGAUAUAUAAUAAUGUUUGUGUUUGUACCACAGGAGGUUGGUGGGACCUUAAUUGGGGAGGACAGGCUUGUAAUGGCUGGAGGGGAAUAAGUAGAAUGGUAUCAAACACGUGGUUUCCAUGUGUUCCAUUUCAUUCACUCUGUUCCAGACAUUAUUAUGAGCCGUCCUCCCCUCACCAGCCUCCAGUGGUAUGUACUGUCCUAUAUGUGAGAGAGCUCCAACAAGGAAUUACAAUGCAUGUAUUACUUUUAAUUACUGCAAAUGGCAAAUAAACUACUAGAACUCCUUAUGAAUGUCUGCAGCCGACUAGGCUGUUGGCGUCUGACAAGAGGUGAAAAUAUUACAGGAAUAUUCUGCAAAUGUUGAUGAAGACGUCACUCAAUCCCCCCAAAACAACAUGAAGUCUUUCCACAAGACUCCCAUGAAGUUAUAGUGUGACGUUAUGAGUUGACGUUAAAGUAACAUUCUCAGAACAUACUGCACUUGUUUUAUACUGUUUUAGAUGGAUCCUCUGUUUCAACAUUUAAACUCUUAAAUUUAAACAAUUAAACAAUUAAACUCUUAAAUGUAAACAAUUUAAACAAUAACACCGUUAAAAUACCAAUGUGAUCAUUUGUUGUACGUCUUUUAUGUUGAAUAACAAAUAGUACAAUUAUAUAUGGACAUACGCUCCAAAUACACUGCUGAUGUCGCAGAAAGGCCACAAAGAUCAUCAAGGACAACAUCCACCCGAGCCACUGCCUGUUCACCCCGCUACCAUCCAGAAGGCGAGGUCAGUACAGGUGCAUCAAAGCUGGGACCGAGAGACUGAAAAACAGCUUCUAUCUCAAGGCCAUCAGACUGUUAAACAGCCACCACUAACAUUGAGUGGCUGCUGCCAACACACUGACUCAACUCCAGCCACUUUAAUAAUGGAAAUUGAUGGAAAUUGAUGGAAAAAUAUGCAUCACUAGCCACUUUACAAUGCCACUUAAUAUAAUGUUUACAUACCCUACAUUACUCAUCUCAUAUGUAUAUACUGUACUCGAUACCAUCUACUGCAUCUUGCCUAUGCCGUUCUGUACCAUCACUCAUUCAUGUAUGUUUAUGUACAUAUUCUUUAUCCCUUUACACUUGUGUAUAUAAGGUAAUUGUUGUGAAAUCGUUAGGUUAGAUUACUUGUUGGUUAUUACUGCAUUGUCGGAACUAGAAGCACAAGCAUUUCGCUAACCUCGCAUUAACAUCUGCUAACCAUGUGUAUGUGACAAAUAAAAUGUGAUUUUAGUUUAUUUAGUUGUACAAGUAUACAAGAAGAUAUUGUAUUUUUCAUAAUAAAACAUAAUUGAAACAAGAAAAAGCA